rnacentral:rRNA from 1 species
GAGGAAAAGAAACUAACAAGGAUUCCCCUAGUAGCGGCGAGCGAAGCGGGAAGAGCUCAAAUUUAUAAUCUGGCACCUUCGGUGUCCGAGUUGUAAUCUCUAGAAGUGUUUUCCGCGUUGGACCGCACACAAGUCUGUUGGAAUACAGCGGCAUAGUGGUGAAACCCCCGUAUAUGGUGCGGACGCCCAGCGCUUUGUGAUACACUUUCAAUGAGUCGAGUUGUUUGGGAAUGCAGCUCAAAUUGGGUGGUAAAUUCCAUCUAAAGCUAAAUAUUGGCGAGAGACCGAUAGCGAACAAGUACCGUGAGGGAAAGAUGAAAAGCACUUUGGAAAGAGAGUUAACAGUACGUGAAAUUGUUGGAAGGGAAACGCUUGAAGUCAGACUUGCUUGCCGGAGCUUGCUUCGGUUUGCAGGCCAGCAUCAGUUUUCCGGGGUGGAUAAUAACGGUUUGAAGGUAGCAGUCUCGGCUGUGUUAUAGCUUUCCGUUGGAUACAUCCUGGGGGACUGAGGAACGCAGCGUGCUUUUUGCGAAAGACUCGUCUUUUU